CAGUAGCCGCGGUAAUACGUAGGGUGCAAGCGUUAAUCGGAAUUACUGGGCGUAAAGCGUGCGCAGGCGGUUUGUUAAGACAGAUGUGAAAUCCCCGGGCUCAACCUGGGAACUGCAUUUGUGACUGGCAAGCUAGAGUGUGGCAGAGGGGGGUGGAAUUCCGCGUGUAGCAGUGAAAUGCGUAGAUACGCGGAGGAACACCGAUGGCGAAGGCAGCCCCCUGGGCCAACACUGACGCUCAUGCACGAAAGCGUGGGGAGCAAACAGGAUUAGAUACCCGAGUAGUCCCUGUCUCUUAUAC
rnacentral:rRNA from 1 species